GGGAAAGCAAAGGGAAAUGAGAAUGGAGAAAAGUAUUUUCUAGAUAAAGCAGUUGGAUUUGAUGGGUGAGCCAGGAGACCAGCAGCAGGGAGGGUGGGUGGUCCAGUGGGCAGAGUUAUGGCUAGGAAGUGAAGAGUCAAGGGCCCCUGUUUCACCCACAGUGCACUACUGUCGGAUCCAAGGCAUGACCCCUUCCCACAGCAGUGCCCCUUUAAGAGAGGGAAAUGUGAUCAAAAGGGUAAGAAGGGUCCCUUGCUCCUGGAGGGGAACUGCUGGCCCGUUUGCCUGAUAGCCACUGGAGGCAGGCCUUGGUUAGGCCUUCCCACUGACACCCAGUGGGACGUGAUGGCAGAGCAGUUGGUGCUCUUGUCAACUUGCUGCUUCCAGAUCUUCAGGAGGUUACUAUUAAAAUCCCACCAAACCCUGCCACUGGCGUCCGUUGGGCUUUGUGGAUUGAUUCAGAUUUAAGGUGCGCCCCUCUGGGCCUAGCACUGGAGGUGGAAACAGCAGAAGAGUAAAACUUGGUCUUGGGGUCCCCAAAUUCAGAGGGAGUGACCGCAACAGGUAAGGUGACAGAUUCUAAACCAAAUUAUGUGAUACAGAUCAUGAAUGGUUUGCUUAUUCCAAAUUAGCACCAACCCCAAACAAAACAGAUAAACUGAAUCCUAAAAUGCACCCCGUCUGUUCACACUGGCCUAGGCUGAUAAUAAAUGUUC
rnacentral:lncRNA from 1 species